rnacentral:rRNA from 1 species
AUUGAACGCUGGCGGCAUGCUUAACACAUGUAAGUCGAACGGCAGCACGGUCUAGCUUGCUAGACUGGUGGCGAGUGGCGAACGGGCGAGUAACGCGUAGGAAUAUGCCUUAAAGAGGGGGAUAACCUGGGGAAACUCAGGCUAAUACCGCAUGAGCUCUGAGGAGGGAAGCUGGGGACCUUUUGGCCUGGCGCUUUAAGAAUAGCCUGCGUACGAUUAGCUAGUUGGUAGGGUAAGGGCCUACCAAGGCGACGAUCGUUAGCUGGUCUGAGAGGCUGCUCAGCCACACGGGGACGGAGACACGGCCCAGACUCCGACGGGAGGCAGCAGUGGGUAAUAUUGGACAAUGGGGGGAUCCCUGAUCCAGCAAUGCCGCGUGUGCGAAGAAGGCCUGAGGGUUGUAAAGCACUUUCAGUGGGGAGGAGGGUUGAUAGGUUAAGAGCUAAUUGACUGGACGUUACCCACAGAAGAAGCACCGGCUAACUCCGUGCCAGCCGCCGCGGUAA